CAGUCGCCGCGGUAAUUCGGAGGGGGCUAGCGUUGUUCGGAAUUACUGGGCGUAAAGCGCACGUAGGCGGCUUGGUAAGUUAGAGGUGAAAGCCCAGGGCUCAACCCUGGAAUUGCCUUUAAGACUGCCGAGCUAGUAGGUGAGAGAGGUAAGUGGAAUUCCGAGUGUAGAGGUGAAAUUCGUAGAUAUUCGGAAGAACACCAGUGGCGAAGGCGGCUUACUGGCUCAUUCUAGACGCUGAGGUGCGAAAGCGUGGGGAGCAAACAGGAUUAGAUACCCCCGUAGUCCCUGUCUCUUAUAC
rnacentral:rRNA from 1 species